UGAACCAAGAUAAAUAAAAAAACAUUCAGA
rnacentral:sRNA from 1 species